UCGAAACUAGCCUGGGAAAGAGCAACACAGAGAGAGAGAAUCCGUCCAGAAAAAUGCACAACUGGGUUAGAGCCGAUUCAACCGAUUUCAAUGGAACACUCCCCAAACCUCGAAGUGGUCACACUGCAAUUAAUGUUGGGAAAUCCAAAGUCGUUAUAUUUGGUGGAUUACUCGAUAAGAGAUUUCUCACUGAUCUUACUGUACUCGAUACUGAGAGCAAUUUAUGGUAUCAACCAGAAUGCACCGGGAAUGAGUCAGAUGGGCAAAUAGGUCCAAGCGCACGGGCGUUUCAUGUGGCUGUAGCCAUUGAUUGCAAUUUAUUUAUUUUUGGUGGCCGUUCUGCUGGAAAAAGGUUGGGAGACUUUUGGAUGCUCGAUACAGAUAUUUGGCAAUGGUCGGAACUAACUGGUUUUGGUGAUUUACCCUCCCCAAGAGAUUUUGCUUCUGCUUCGUGUAUCGGAAAUAGGAAAAUUGUGAUGUAUGGUGGUUGGGAUGGUAAAAAGUGGUUGUCAGAUGUUUAUAUCCUUGACACAAUGUCGCUUGAGUGGACAGAGUUAUCGAUUUCUGGAUCUGGACCACCACCUAGAUGUGGGCACACAGCCACUAUGGUCGAGAAGCGAUUGCUUGUGUUUGGUGGUAGAGGAGGUGGCGGGCCAAUCAUGGGAGACUUGUGGGCUUUAAAGGGUAUUAUUGAUGGAGAGAAUGAAGCACCAGGUUGGACCCAGCUGAAGCUUCCUGGCCAACAGCCUUCUCCCCGUUGUGGCCAUACAGUGACUUCUGGGGGACAUAAUCUCUUAUUAUUUGGAGGGCAUGGCACUGGUGGUUGGUUGAGUCGAUAUGAUGUCUAUCACAAUGACUGCAUUGUCUUAGAUAGAGUGUCUGUGCAGUGGAAGCGUUUACCUACCAGCAAUGAACUCCCUUUAGCUCGAGCUUACCACACAAUGACUGCUAUUGGGUCUCGUUAUCUUUUAUUUGGUGGGUUUGAUGGAAAAUCUACAUUUGGUGAGCUGUGGUGGUUGGUUCCUGAAGAUGAUCCAAUUGCAAGAAGGUUGGCUUCACCCCCUUCAAAUAAUAUAUCAGAAAGUAAUACUGGAUCUGCACAAGACGUUGCACUCCAGUCGGAAAGGGAUAGCAAUAAAGAGGAAUCUCCAAUUACGGAACUAUUUAGAAGACUAAAAAUAUCAGUUCCACCUUCAUCUGAGUUUGGCAUCAUAGAUGAAUUGGAUGACAAAGAAUUUCUAGAAGUAGCAUCAAGGUUGACCAGAGAAGUAGUAUCCAACCAUGAACAGGACACACUUAUUCAGUCAGUGCGUAGUCACUGGGUUAGUUCUUCACCAAGGUCUAUACCAUUAAAAGAGUUAGGCCCCUUGCUGCGAGACUACAAACGUUUGAUUUUCCGCCACUACUUAGGUAAUGGUGGAUCCGAUUUACCGCCUAUGAAGACUGGGACUUCAGGAGAGGAGAUUUAUCAGUUUUAUCACACCAAAACUGCGUCUCAGUUGCACAUGGGUGAUAUUCCGAAGCUGUUAACCGAGUACAAGCGACUUGUGUCCAAGUGAAAAGUGGCUUGCAGACCAUUUCGCUAUAAACAAAGUUACUGCAAGUCAUCUGUGAGUAAUUUUCAUUCUCAGGUUAUAAUGAACAGAAAUAGCUUUAAAGGGUAUCAGGCCCAACUUUCUUUAUUAUGACAAAUUGGUGAGAAAUUACCAACAUGCCAUUUACUAAAGCCAGUGAGGUUCUACUUUCAUCUUUAUUGUUGUUUUGUUUAUUAAAGAUAGUUUCUCUUAUUAAACCCUUUACACCAUUGCAGUUUUCUUUACGUUAUUAAAACCUAACACCAUAUUCUUCUUACCCUUUUGUCUUUACGGAUUUAUUUAACCAAAUGUUUAUCUUGUAAACUUAAAUUAUCUUUUAAAAAUAAUUAGAUUGCUUGUACUAAGUACUAACACCCUAACGGUCGAUCUUAGAAAGUCUUACACAACUUUUUGGACCGCAUAUUAUGAUGAAAAUGUUCUCUAACUUGUGCAGUUUGGCAUCUAAUUGAUAGCGCAAGAAACUUGUUCUGAAAUCAAAGAUCUUUCUUUAGAGUUGUUAAUUUCCGAUGAUAAAUUCAAUCAUGUUACAAGUCUCAAAGUGUAGUCCCUAGCUAGUCAAGACUCCGAGGGUCAUUUGUUGCUCCAAUUAGCUCUUGUGAUUAUUCUUUAUAUACAUUUCUAGGCGUCACUCCAUACAUGGUUGUGCUAAUCACAUACUCCUAUCUUAGAAUUUUGUGGUUCACAGUAAAUGUCAUGAUCCAAGGGUUUAGAUUACUCGACUAGCUAAAUCUUUUUAUAUACAGGCUUGGCAAAGGCAUACAAGGUUUCUCCUUUUCAUUAGGCUAGUAUAUAUUUAUUUAUCGAAACUGGUUGUAUAUCAUUGGAUGGUUGCUAGAUG